rnacentral:rRNA from 1 species
CCUACGGGAGGCAGCAGUGAGGAAUAUUGGUCAAUGGACGAGAGUCUGAACCAGCCAAGUAGCGUGAAGGAUGACUGCCCUAUGGGUUGUAAACUUCUUUUGUAAAGGAAUAAAACGAGCCACGUGUGCCUUUUUGCAUGUACUUUAUGAAGAAGGAUCGGCUAACUCCGUGCCAGCAGCCGCGGUAAUCCGUAGGGGGCAAGCGUUAUCCGGAAUUACUGGGUGUAAAGGGAGCGUAGAUGGUAAUGCAAGUCUGGAGUGAAAGGCGGGGGCACAACCCCCGGACUGCUCUUGAAACUGUGUGACUUGAGUGAAGGAGAGGCAGGCGGAAUUCCUAGUGUAGCGGUGAAAUGCAUAGAUAUUAGGAGGAACACCAGUGGCGAAGGCGGCCUGCUGGACUGUAACUGACGUUGAGGCUCGAAAGCGUGGGGAGCAAACAGGAUUAGAUACCCCUGUAGUC